AACGAACGCUGGCGGCAUGCCUAACACAUGCAAGUCGAACGAAGCCUUCGGGCUUAGUGGCGCACGGGUGCGUAACGCGUGGGAAUCUGCCCCUUGCUUCGGAAUAACAGUUAGAAAUGACUGCUAAUACCGGAUGAAGUCUUCGGACCAAAGAUUUAUCGGCAAGGGAUGAGCCCGCGUAGGAUUAGGUAGUUGGUGGGGUAAAGGCCUACCAAGCCGACGAUCCUUAGCUGGUCUGAGAGGAUGAUCAGCCACACUGGGACUGAGACACGGCCCAGACUCCUACGGGAGGCAGCAGUGGGGAAUAUCGGACAAUGGACGCAAGUCUGAUCCAGCAAUGCCGCGUGAGUGAUGAAGGCCUUAGGGUUGUAAAGCUCUUUUACCAGGGAUGAUAAUGACAGUACCUGGAGAAUAAGCUCCGGCUAACUCCGUG
rnacentral:rRNA from 1 species